UACGUAGGGUGCGAGCGUUAAUCGGAAUUACUGGGCGUAAAGCGUGCGCAGGCGGUUCGCUAAGACCGAUGUGAAAUCCCCGGGCUUAACCUGGGAACUGCAUUGGUGACUGGCGGGCUAGAGUAUGGCAGAGGGGGGUAGAAUUCCACGUGUAGCAGUGAAAUGCGUAGAUAUCUGGAGGAACACCGGUGGCGAAGGCGGCAUCCUGGACCGAUACUGACGCUGAGGAGCGAAAGCCAGGGGAGCAAACGGG
rnacentral:rRNA from 1 species